CGUGUAGGUGGAACUUUAAGUCGGUGGUGAAAGCCUGCAGCUUAACUGCAGAAUUGCCCUCGAUACUGAAGUUCUUGAGUGCGGCAGAGGGAGAUGGAAUUCAUGGUGUAGCGGUGAAAUGUGUAGAUAUCAUGAAGAACACCGGUAGCGAAGGCGGUCUCCUGGUCCGUAACUGACACUGAGGCGCGAAAGCGUGGGGAGCAAACAGGAUUAGAUACCCUGGUAGUCCACGCCUUAAACGAUGGGUACUCGGUGCUGGGCCGCAAGGUUCAGUGCCAAAGCUAACGCAUUAAGUACCCCACCUGGGGAGUACGAUCGCAAGGUUGAA
rnacentral:rRNA from 1 species